rnacentral:lncRNA from 1 species
CGAAAUUUGCGGUGAUUUUGUUAUGGAAGAAGAACCAAUCUUGAAUAGGGAAGUGAUGCUACAAAAAUGCUAAAAAAUGAAUUAAUAUAAUGCAAAUGUCAGUUUAGUAAAUAUAAAUAAUGAUGCUUAUCUAUAUGGAAAGAAGGCAAAAUAUAAAUAGGUAGUCUAUUCAUAGAUAUUACAUUGAUCCAGGUAUUAAGAACAUGAAAUCAUUAGGCUCUAUUAAAAGAAAAAUUCAUUGUAAUUCAUACUUAUUUUCUAAUCACUUGUAAUAGAAUUUUUAAUAGUCUAUUUUUCAGAACAAUUUUAGGCUCACAGCAAAUACAAUAGAAUUUUAGUUAUACAAUUCAUACAUGAAUACUAUUUCCUUGAUAAGAAUUUUAAAAUAUUACCAGUAAGGCUAAAGUUAUCUUUACAGCUAGAAUUAAGGGUAUGUUAGGACUGUUUGGAAGAGGUAACGUAAAUACAUGUGAAUAGGGUAUAUAACUGAAUUUUCUAUGAGCACAAUAAUAUUCCAAAAUGAUUUAAAGCUGACUAUAUUGAAUUUAUCUGUAUAAAAUAGCUUUAGAAUGUAUAAUAUAGGCUGGGGUUUAUGGCUCAUGCCUGUAAUCCUAGCACUUUGGGAGGCCAAGGCAGUUAGAUCACUUGAGGUCAGGAGUUUGAGACCAGCCUGGCCAACAUGGUAAGACCCUGUCUCUACUAAAAAUACAAAACUUAACCAGGUGUGGUGGUGCACAACUGCAGUCCUAGCUGCUCGGGAGGCUGAGGCACGAGAAUUGCUUGAACCCAGGAGCUGGAGACUGCAGUGAGCCGAGAUCAAGCCAUUGCACUCCAGCCUGGGUGACAGAGGGAGACUCCAUCUCAAAAAAAAAGAAAAAAAUACUGUAAUCCCAGCACUUUGGGAGGCCAAGGUGGGUGGAUCACCUGAGGUCAGGAGUUUGAGACCAGACUGACCAAGAUGGUGAAACCCCGUUUCUACAAAAAAAAAAAAAAAAAAAAAAAAAAUCAAAAUUAGCCAGGCAUGGUGAUGUAUACUUAUAAUCCCAGCUACUUGGGAGGCUGAGGCAGGAAAAUCUCUUGAACUUGGGAGGUGGAGGUUGCAGUGAGCUGAGAUUGUACCAUUGCACUCCAGCCUGGAAAAAUAAAUAAAUAAAAUAAAAAAUAAAAUAAAAUGUAUAAUUGAUAGCUAAUGAAACGUCUAUAUGAAAUUUAGUUCAAGUAAAUUAUUUCCUUGCUAUUUGAAGUCCAAAACAAUUAAACUUGGAUACCUUCAUUUUAAAAAUCCUAUUGUAAAAAUAGAUACUCAAAUCGAAAGGAAAUAAAUUCAUAUCAUAGUACAGAUCUCAAAUAACUAACCUUUAACACUUUUUCUGGGACUUCAGGUAGGAGUUCCUGAAGUUGACACAGAGUUGCUAAUAAUAUCCAAUGCAGUGAAGGUCCUUUAUUUAGCAUGAGCUGAGCCACCAAUGGGUUAAUACAUGGAAAAUCAAGUAAGUACAUUUCUUCCUAGAAAAGAGUUUAAGAAAUAAUCAGUCAGUAGUCUUUUGAAAGUGAGCCAUUUUAUUCUACAAGUAAGUACAUUUCUUCCUAGAAAAGAGUUUAAUAGUCAGUAGUCUUUCGAAAGUGAUCCAUUUUAUUCUACUCGUUGCAGCAGAUUAAAACUUUUGUUAUUGCACCUACCACUCAAUUUGAGACAUUUGGGGGAAAAAUGUUACCAGAAAGUAAAUUCAAAUACAGGUUUUUAUAUUUGCUUUGCAAUUAUCUAUUUUACACAUUUAGAAAAUAUACCUCAGAUGGUGAAACUUUAAGCCAGGAUUUAUCCAACCAUUCAUGAGGAUCUCUCUUUGAGGUCAUUAAACUGUGGUCAGCAAUUUGUCGAAUUAUCAAGGCAGUUGCUUCUACUCCUGGGGCAAUUAUAAGCUAAAAAAUAUUUUUUAUGUUAGAUUAUAGGAAAUACUAGGAAGCAAAAUAUAAUAUUUUUUAAACAGUUUGUAAUUAGAAGAUAAAAUUAAACAACAGCAGAUUCUAUCUAAUUUUAGAUAGAAACUAUUGGUUUAUCUAUGUCCAGGACAUUUUAUUUAUGAGGAUAACCAAUUUUCAUUCCUUAUUUAAAUGUGAUAUCCUUGUAUUUUUAAUUUUUGGAACUAAAUCAUUUUCAUUUCAUUUGGCAUUUAUUAACAGAGUCAUUAAAAUAUAGUGUUAUAUUUCAACUAUAUUAGAAAAAUCAGCAAUUUGAAUAUCACUAGUAAUAUUACUAUUUUGCUGUUUCCAAAAGUUAAACCUAAUAGUUGUCAAUUAAAAUAAGAAUUUUAAAAAUAUAGUGCAAGAUUUUUCAAAGACAAAGUUAAAAAAUAAGGAUACUUAUAAAUGAAUUUGAUGUUGUAUUCAAAAAAGAAAAAAUAAGGUUUUGAUUUAGAGUAGUCAUCAUUCCCAGCAUUUUGGGAAUUGCUCAUCUAAUAUUGGCUUACUGAUUCUAAGAUACCCCUGCCAAAAAUGUGGUGUUUGUGUAUAUUAAAUUUAAUUCUAAAAAAUAAUUUUUUCCCAUUAGCACAGUAGUAAGGAAAAAAAGUACAGAAAAAAUAAUUUCAUAAUAUCCUCUGUUUCCUGUCUGACACUGUUUUCCUCCAUGCCCUUCUCUCUUCUGAAAUGUCAACCUUCUUUUUCUGCUUUCAUUUCUUUCUUUUCUUCUUCAUCUUUUAAAUUUGAUUGAAGGAAAGAUAGUUCAUGAGUUAGCAGUUUAACGUGAACAGAGAAAUACUGCCCCAAAUAAUCAUAUCCUGGAAAAUAAAUAUCCUGUACUAUAGUGGAAAUUUAGUAAACUGUAGAAAUCUCACAAAAUAAUUAUGACUUUUUUUCUUUUAUAAGAAUAGCAAAUACAAAACGGUUAGUACACACCUGGGGAGUAUAUGCAUUUUAAAGGAUUUUCUUUAAAUUACAUUAUAUAGGGAGAAUACACAGAAAUAUAUUGUUCAAUUCCAAAUGUACUUUAUUGCUAGUUUUGGGUGUUUUGAGAAGAUAUGACACUUUCAUUUAAAUAUAAACUUUAUUUUAACCCUUUUCCCAUUUAGAAAAAAAAAGUACAGCACUCAUUUAAUUUUACAUAAACACGCUCUUUGAGGCUGAAGCAAAUCUGACUGAUUUUCGAUGUGAAAAUAAAAUAUAAAAACUGUGCUUGGAGUUAUUUCUAAACAGAAAUAACAUCAGAAUCAUCUGAAUCAUCAGAAUUUUCUAUUUCAGAAAAAUCAGAUUCAUCAAUGGAGUCUUCAGCCAACAACUGUUUGAGAAUGAUGUUAACAUCACGAGUAGGAAUACUAUGUUUUCUAGGAUUUGACAUUUUCAGGGACUGAGAAUUACUAUAUUUUGUAAUGGAAAUACCACUACUAAAAAUAGAAUGCUAUAAAUAGAAAGAUAUCUUUUGUUUCCAAAGUUGAUAUGCUACAGCGAUGCAAAAACAAUAAUAAAAACGAGAUAUUUCGUGGCAAAGUUGUCUCAGGGUAAACACUGCAGCAACAAGCCUGGCUGGUGAGGAUUCUCAGGGCAAAUGGGAAAAGGGUUAAAAGCCAUAAUUUUAUGAUGGCGAUAAUGACAAUUAAUUUAUUAGGGCAGGAAUUCUGGGGCUCAUGGCUAGAUUUGGGAAUUCAGGAACCUACUUAAUUUGUUUGCAAAAUUUUGCAUGUGUGUAUUUAUGCAUUUUCCUGCAAAGAUGGUUCAUAAGAAAAUUACAGAACUUUUAAAAAAUUGGAAUAACACUUAGCAUAACACUAGUAGCAGUAUUUUCUUUUAAUUUAAGAAAAUGUUCUUAAACUUCCUAAUACUUCCUUGAUUUUCAAGUUCUUCAGAUGCCUGAAAAUAAAAAGGUGCUAAUGGUCCUGAUGUGCUCUAAGAGAUCAAAAGCCAUGCUACUAAAUAAAGUAAGAGACGUUUUAAACCUGAAAGUCAUACAAAGAGAAUGACGGCUGGGUGCAGUGGCUCAUGCCUACAAUCUUAGCACUUUGGGAGGCCGAGGCGGGCAGAUCACCUGAGGUCAGGAGUUCAAGACCAGCCUGAUCAACAUGGAGAAACCCCAUCUCUACUAAAAAUACAAAAUUAGCCAGGUGUGGUGGUGCAUGCCUGUAAUCCCAGCUACUCGGGAGGCUGAGGUGGGAGAAUCGCUUGAACCUGGGAGGCGGAGGUUGUGGUGAGCUGAGAUCUUGCCAUUGCACUCCAGCCUGGGCAACAAGAGCGAAAUUUUGUCUCGACAACAACAACAACAACAACAACAAGAAAAUGACAAUGAGAAAAUAAUCUCAUCAAAAAUAAUCCUGAGAUUUCAACAUGUA